rnacentral:rRNA from 1 species
AACGAACGCUGGCGGCAUGCCUAACACAUGCAAGUCGAACGAGAUCUUCGGGUCUAGUGGCGCACGGGUGCGUAACGCGUGGGAAUCUGCCCUUUGGUUCGGAAUAACAGUUGGAAACGACUGCUAAUACCGGAUGAUGACGAAAGUCCAAAGAUUUAUCGCCAGAGGAUGAGCCUGCGUAGGAUUAGCUAGUUGGUGUGGUAAAGGCGCACCAAGGCGACGAUCCUUAGCUGGUCUGAGAGGAUGAUCAGCCACACUGGGACUGAGACACGGCACAGACUCCUGCGGGAGGCAGCAGUGGGGGAUAUUGGACAGUGGGCGAAAGCCUGAUCCAGCAAUGGCGCGUGGGUGAUGAAGGCCUUAGGGUUGUAAAGCUCUUUUACCCGGGAUGAUAAUGACAGUACCGGGAGAAUAAGCUCCGGCUAACUCCGUGCCAGCAGCCGCCGUAA